AACCUUUUGAAUUGGUGCUGAGAAUUCGUCAGACACCAACCCAUUAGGGCUGAUCAAACUUCCAAGAUAAGUGGAGUU
rfam:Schistosoma haematobium scaffold505_18, whole genome shotgun sequence.